rnacentral:rRNA from 1 species
AUUGAACGCUGGCGGCAUGCCUUACACAUGCAAGUCGAACGGUAACAGGUCUUCGGAUGCUGACGAGAGGCGAACGGGUGAGUAAUACAUCGGAACGUGCCUAGUAGUGGGGGAUAACUACUCGAAAGAGUGGCUAAUACCGCAUGAGAUCUACGGAUGAAAGCAGGGGAUCGCAAGACCUUGUGCUACUAGAGCGGCCGAUGGCAGAUUAGGUAGUUGGUGGGAUAAAAGCUUACCAAGCCGACGAUCUGUAGCUGGUCUGAGAGGACGAUCAGCCACACUGGGACUGAGAAACGGCCCAGACGCCUACGGGAGGCGGCAGUGGGGAAUUUUGGACAAUGGGCGCAAGCCUGAUCCAGCAAUGCCGCGUGCAGGAUGAAGGCCUUCGGGUUGUAAACUGCUUUUGUACGGAACGAAAAGCCCUGGGUUAAUACCCUGGGGUCAUGACGGUACCGUAAGAAUAAGCACCGGCUAACUACGUGCCAGCCGCCGCCGUAA